CUGGACCAAGUAUCUACAUCUAAUAGCUUUCCUAUUGUCCAUCAAGUAAUCCACUAUUUUAGCUAUCUUUUUCUUUAUUUGUGUGAUUGUAAUUUCUGUAUGUACAAUUACAAUUUUCCCUCUAAACAGUUUUCAGUUUCUUGCUCUCCAAGUGUGGUAGAUUCUAGCUCCCCAUAUAGCUGUAGCUAGUUCCUUCUUAUAUUGUUUCCAGUGUCUUCCUUUUAUCCAUUUUAAGCAUUGUUUCAUUUCAGCUUCCUACCCAACAAUUCAUUGUACCUACAUCUCACAUUAUAUGCUCCAUUGGUACAUAGUUAGUUUGAGGGAGUUAAGCUUCCUCCAAUACCAACUGUUGUCCCUAGAGGGUGUAUGUGUUCACUUUUGAAAAACUUUAACUAAUGAUUAUUAUCUCAGAAUAAAACCGACUUUCUAAGAUAAUAGCUAUUAGUUAAGUCACCACCAUCUAAGAAAUCAACUCAAGAACUGUGGUUCCACAAUUAGUACCUGAGAAGUGGACAUCAAAUUCAUUCAAUCUGCAUCAGGAAAAGCUCUAUCAAUUCUGCCGCAAGUAUGGUUGUUGGUCCAUGUAUCUUCCUGUCACAAGCCUAUAUUUCAUUUCAUUCCUGAAUCAAUGAAGAAGUCUCUGAAAUCACUGAUCUCCAUGUCUAGUAAAGGCUUAACAACAUGGACAACGAGAAUUCAUAUAGCUGACCUCAACGUGCUUGGGAUUGAGGCGUAAUAGAAGUAGUAGUAGUUAUUGUUGUUAUUAUGUAUUUAUCUACAAGCAUAACUCGGAAAAAAUGUUCUUUUUUAUGGAAACAGCUACUAAACUAUCCUUUUGAAUGUUGUCUUUGGAAUGAAUAUA